rnacentral:rRNA from 1 species
UACGGAGGGAGCUAGCGUUGUUCGGAAUUACUGGGCGUAAAGCGCACGUAGGCGGCGAUUCAAGUCAGAGGUGAAAGCCCGGGGCUCAACCCCGGAACUGCCUUUGAAACUAGAUUGCUAGAAUCCUGGAGAGGUGAGUGGAAUUCCGAGUGUAGAGGUGAAAUUCGUAGAUAUUCGCAAGAACACCAGUGGCGAAGGCGGCUCACUGGCCCGAUACUGACGCUGAGGUGCGAAAGCGUGGGGAGCAAACAGG